CUCAUUCCGUUUGAACGAAGGCAUCGAAGUAUUCAUUCGAGCUCAAUCAAACCAAGCAAGAUCGUGUUUUUAUUUUUAUCGAUUGUUUUGCAACUGAAGUUCAUCAAUUUAUUAUGGGUGGAUCUAGCAUUCGAGCUCAAUCAAAUCAAGCAAGAUCAUGUUUUUAUUCUUAUCGAUUGUUUUGCAACUGAACUUCAACAAUUUGUUAUGGGUGGAUCUGGCAUUCGAGCUCAAUCAAACCAUUCAAGAUCGUGUUCUUAUCAGAUUUCGAUGAUUGUUUUGUAACAGAAGUUAGGAAAUUUAUUGGUCGAUUGGUUAAUUAAUAACACUACCACUGAGGGGAAGGGAAGGGUAUAUGUAUUGAAACGAAAAUUGAAUCCCCUGCGCUUCUCAGUGAUCUGGCUUUGUCCAUUCGUGUUCGUAAUCCAACGACGAUGGUCCUCUGUCUGUUCAUGUUCAUAACCGAACCAGUGCAUAUACCUUUUCUGUCUUCUACGUGUAGUUAUCUCUCAGAACGUGGUGCAACUGAUAAAUGUCUGCAAUUAAAAGGUUCACAGAUGGAUUCUAUAAAUAUAGGUUCUUGGAAAGUGAUUCUGAUAGAACAUAAAAAGCACCGGAGUAAGAAAAAGGAAGAGUUAUAACUUUCUAGCAGGUAUCUCAGUGACAAGCGGAAGCGUGUUGAGAAAACUGAAUCCAAUAAUUGAAGCUUAAUUAGUGGAAUUCGCAAGGGACAAAUUUUUCAGGGUCUCACCAAUAAGAACCAUGAUAAUCAGCACACAAGGUACUCUAUACAAAAAUAGUCCAAGUAAGUAUUACAACUCUUUCUCUAUAAAUUUCCAAAAAUUAUACAAUCACAAUUACUUUUAUUUUUUAAUAUGUAUUGCUUACAUGCAGAUUAUUGCAUUAUAUUAAAUGAAUUUUCUGCUUCAACUAUGGUUCUAACUGAAGGUCUAAUAUUCAAACCAGCCUUUACACCUACUUAUAAUUUAUACCUGUUACUACAUACCAAAACAGAGUACUUCAUUAAAAGUAAUUUUCAGAAGAGUAGUGUACAAAAAAAAAAAUGAAUAUGAAAGAAGGUAUGAA